AGUGGAAUUAUUUCUUUUGAUGGAAGAAAACUGACAUACUCUUUCACUU
rnacentral:tRNA from 1 species